UAACUUAGUGGCGGACGGGUGAGUAACGCGUGAGAAUCUGCCUUCAGGACGGAGACAACAGUUGGAAACGACUGCUAAGCCCCGAUGAACCGAAAGGGAAAAUAUUUAUAGCCUGAAGAUGAGCUCGCGUCCGAUUAGCUAGUUGGCGGAGUAAAAGCCCACCAAGGCGACGAUCGGUAGCUGGUCUGAGAGGACGAUCAGCCACACUGGGACUGAGACACGGCCCAG
rnacentral:rRNA from 1 species